UACGGGGGGGGGCAAGCGUUGUUCGGAAUUACUGGGCGUAAAGGGCUCGUAGGUGGCCAACUAAGUCAGACGUGAAAUCCCCAGGCUCAACUUGGGAACUGCGUCUGAUACUGGAUGGCUUGAAUUCGGGAGAGGGAUGCAGAAUUCCAGGUGUAGCGGUGAAAUGCGUAGAUAUCUGGAGGAAUACCGGUGGCGAAGGCGGCAUCCUGGACCGAUAUUGACACUGAUGAGCGAAAGCUAGGGGAGACGAAACGGG
rnacentral:rRNA from 1 species